CUUUAAACAAUAGAAUGUGUCUGUGAUGGAAGGUGCUUUUAAACAAUAGAAUGUGUCUGUGAUGGAAGGUGUGGUACCUUUAAACAAUAGAAUGUGUCUGUGAUGGAAGGUGUGGUGCCUUUAAACAAUAGAAUGUGUCUGUGAUGGAAGGUGUCUUUAAACAAUAGAAUGUGUCUGUGAUGGAAGGUGUCUUUAAGAAAUAGAAUGUGUCUGUGAUGGAAGGUGUCUUUAAACAAUAGAAUGUGUCUGUGAUGGAAGGUGUGGUGCCUUUAAACAAUAGAAUGUGUCUGUGAUGGAAGGUGUAUUUAAACAAUAGACUGUGUCUGUGAUGGAAGGUGCCUUUAAACAAUAGACUGUGUCUGUGAUGGAAGGUGUCUUUAAGAAAUAGAAUGUGUCUGUGAUGGAAGGUGUGGUGCCUUUAAACAAUAGAAUGUGUCUGUGAUGGAAGGUGUGGUGCCUUUAAACAAUAGAAUGUGUCUGUGAUGGAAGGUGCCUUUAAACAAUAGACUGUGUCUGUGAUGGAAUGUGUCUUUAAGAAAUAGAAUGUGUCUGUGAUGGAAGGUGUGGUGCCUUUAAACAAUAGAAUGUGUCUAUGAUGGAAGGUGUGUUGCCUUUAAACAAUAGAAUGUGUCUGUGAUGGAAGGUGUCUUUAAGAAAUAGAAUGUAUCUGUGAUGGAAGGUGUCUUUAAGAAAUAGAAUGUGUCUGUGAUGGAAGGUGUGGUGCCUUUAAACAAUAGAAUGUGUCUGUGAUGGAAGGUGCCUUUAAACAAUAGACUGUGUCUGUGAUGGAAGGUGUCUUUAAGAAAUAGAAUGUGUCUGUGAUGGAAGGUGUGGUGCCUUUAAACAAUAGAAUGUGUCUGUGAUGGAAGGUGUGUUGCC
ensembl:lncRNA